UUAUAUAUACCUUAAGUACGACAAUAGAGUCUGCCAUUUCAUUGGCAAGCUCUUCUAGUUUGGGUCCGAUCAUCUUGCACGGUCCGCACCAGGUGGCCAUGAAGUCGAUGACCACGAGUUUCUCGCCAGCCUCGGACAGUCUAGUCUUGAGGUCAUCAGCGUCUUUGAUGUGAAUAGCCAUUUUCUUACCGAAUAUAAAAUAUUUCACGAUGAAAUGCUAAAAACCGGCGCGACACGCGGUAAUUGACACAAUCCACUGAAAUUAAAACGCCACAGAAUGCGGAGUGGCGA